UACAGAGGGGGCAAGCGUUAUUCGGAAUUAUUGGGCGUAAAGAGCUCGUAGGCGGUGUGUCACGUCGGCCGUGAAAACCUGCAGCUUAACUGUGGGCGUGCGGUCGAUACGGGCAUCACUGGAGUUCGGCAGGGGAGACUGGAAUUCCUGGUGUAGCGGUGAAAUGCGCAGAUAUCAGGAGGAACACCGGUGGCGAAGGCGGUUCUCUGGGCAUUACCUGACGCUGAGGAGCGAAAGCGUGGGGAGCAAACAGG
rnacentral:rRNA from 1 species